UACGGGGGGGGCAAGCGUUGUUCGGAAUUACUGGGCGUAAGGGCUCGUAGGCGGCCAACUAAGUCAGACGUGAAAUCCCUCGGCUUAACCGGGGAACUGCGUCUGAUACUGGAUGGCUUGAGUUCGGGAGAGGGAUGUGGAAUUCCAGGUGUAGCGGUGAAAUGCGCAGAUAUCAGGAGGAACACCCGUGGCGAAAGCGGCUCUCUGGGACGGUACUGACGCUGAGACGCGAAAGCCAGGGGAGCGAACGGG
rnacentral:rRNA from 1 species